rnacentral:rRNA from 1 species
GGACUACUCGGGUAUCUAAUCCUGUUCGCUCCCCACGCUUUCGCGUCUCAGCGUCAGUACCGUCCCAGCGAGCUGCCUUCGCCGUUGGUGUUCUUCCUGAUAUCUGCGCAUUCCACCGCUACACCAGGAGUUCCACUCGCCUCUUCCGGACUCUAGCCCGGCAGUAUCCGCUGACAUUCAAAGGUUGAGCCUUUGACUUUCACAGCGGACUUACCGGGCCGCCUACACGCUCUUUACGCCCAAUGAUUCCGGACAACGCUAGCCCCCUACGUAUUACCGCGGCGGCUGGCAC